AUGGUCCUCUUCUGGGCCUGCGCUCAUCGACCGGCACUUCGGUGCUGCCGUGCUCCUGGUCCUGCGCGCAGCAACGCUGUUGUAGGUCGCGCUGCUCCGCAUAGGUGUGCUCUGCAUCGCAGCUCAGAGACUUGCGCCGCCCGCUGUUGUAUGUGUGUGCGAGAAGAAGUCGAGACGGAGGGUCGAGGGGAUUUGGAGUUGGGCUGCGACUGUACAAUGGCAUUGAAUGCUGAAGUGUUGCAUGCCUGCGCCAUAUGUAGAGGUAAAAGCUGGCGGCGCCGGCGGCUGCAUCUAGGGCUGCGUGAGUAG
rnacentral:rRNA from 1 species